UCCCUGGUAGUAUAUCGGUUAGUACACGCGCCUGUCAUACGAGCGAGAAACUCCAUCCACGCGAAAGCUGGGUUCGACUCCCAGCCAGGGAG